GACGAACCGAGCGAACGUUGUUCGGAAUUACUGGGCGUAAAGGGCGCGUAGGCGGCCUGCUAAGUCGGACGUGAAAUCCCUCGGCUCAACCGGGGAACUGCGUCCGAUACUGGUGGGCUCGAAUCCGGGAGAGGGAUGUGGAAUUCCAGGUGUAGCGGUGAAAUGCGUAGAUAUCUGGAGGAACACCGGUGGCGAAGGCGGCAUCCUGGACCGGUAUUGACGCUGAUGCGCGAAAGCCAGGGGAGCAAACGGG
rnacentral:rRNA from 1 species